AUGUCGCGCAUCUUCUUGCUCCUGCUCCUGCACCUCCUCCUCCUCCUCAUCUUACCACCCGCCACCUCCGCCACGCCGCCGUCGCCGACGGCCGUCCUCCUCUCCUUCCUCGCCUCCCUGCCCGAGGCCUCCCAGCGGAUCCUCCUGCCCUCCUGGCAGAGCAGCACCAACACCAGCUCGGCGGCCACCCAGCACUGCGCGUUCCGUGGCGUCACGUGCACCGCCGCGGGGGCCGUCGCCGCGCUGAACCUCUCCGGGCUGGGCCUGGCGGGCGCGCUGUCCGCGUCCGCGCCGCGCCUCUGCGCGCUCCCGACGGCCCUCUCCUCGCUCGACCUCAGCAGGAACGGCUUCGCCGGCCCCGUCCCGGCCGCGCUCGCCGCGUGUUCCGGCGUGGCCACCCUCCUCCUGGCACGCAACCGCCUCACGGGGCCCGUGCCUCCGGAGCUGCUCUCCUCGCGCCAGCUCCGGAAGGUCGACCUCGGCGGCAACGCGCUCGCCGGGGAGAUCCCGGCUGUGCCUGCCGCCGGCGCCGACGCAUCCGUCCUCGAGCACCUUGACCUCAGCAACAACUCCCUCGCGGGCGCCAUCCCGCCGGAGCUGCUGGCUUCUCUCCCGGGGAUCCGGGUGCUGAACCUGAGCACCAACGGCCUCACCGGGCCGUUGCCCGAGUUCCCGGCCCGUUGCCGGCUCACCUACCUCGCCGUCGACAGCAACGGCGGCAUCACCGGUGAGCUCCCCGGAAGCCUCGCCAACUGCGGCAACCUCACCGACAUAAUCCUAUCCUACAACAAGAUCGGCGGCACGGUGCCGGAUUUCUUCGCGUCCCUGCCAAGGCUGCAGCAGCUGUUCCUCGACGACAACAGCUUCGUCGGGGAGCUGCCGGCGAGCAUCGGCGAGCUCGCCGACCUGGAAAGCCUGGCGGUCACCAAAAACGGGAUGACCGGACCUGUUCCGGAGGCAAUCGGGAGAUGCAAGUCCUUGACGAUGCUGUAUCUGAAGGGCAACUGGUUCAACGGCUCGAUCCCGCGGUUCGUCGGUAACCUGAGCCGGCUACAGAGGUUCUCCAUGGCCGACAACGGCAUGGCCGGAACAAUCCCGCGAGAAAUCGGGAAGUGCCGGGAGCUGGUGGAGCUCCAGCUGCAGAACAACAGCCUCUCCGGGACGAUCCCGCCGGAUUUCAGCGAGCUCGGCCGUCUGCGGAAGCUGGCCCUGUUCAAGAACACGCUCCAUGGGACGGUGCCUCCGGCGCUGUGGCAAAUGCCGGACAUGGAGGAGCUGCAGCUCUACAACAACAGCCUGAGCGGAGAGGUUCCUGCCGGGAUCACGCAGUCGAGGAAGCUCAGAGAGCUCAUCCUGGCGUUCAACAACUUCACCGGCGAGGUCCCGGGAGCGCUGGGGCUGAACACGACCCAUGGGCUCGUUCGUGUCGACCUGACCGGCAACCGCUUCCGCGGCGCGAUCCCGGCCGGUCUCUGCACCGGCGGCCGGCUCGCCGUGCUUGUCGUCGGACACAACCAGUUCAGUGGGGGCAUUCCCGGGGAGAUAGCGAAAUGUCAGUCUCUCUGGAGGGUCAGAUUCAACGACAACAAGUUGAGUGGGAGCUUGCAAGAUUUGGGCACGAACACCGGGUGGUCAUUUGUGGACCUGAGUGGCAACCGGUUUGAUGGGAGGAUACCAAGUGUGCUCGGCUCAUGGCGCAACCUCACCAUGCUUGAUCUGUCCGGCAACAACUUCGCCGGCCUGAUACCGCACGAGCUCGGUGUGAAAGAUAUGAAGCGUUCCUACUCCAUCGGGGGAGCCGCGUGGUAA
rnacentral:rRNA from 1 species